GCGCAGCAGGCGCGAAACCUCCGCAAUACACGAAAGUGUGACGGGGCCAUCCCGAGUGCCGUCCGCUGAGGACGGCUUUUCCCCAGUGUACAUAGCUUGGGGGAAUAAGGAGAGGGCAAGCCUGGUGUCAGCCGCCGCGGUAAUACCAGCUCUCCGAGUGGUGGGACGCUUAUUGGGCCUAAAGCAUCCGUAGCCGGCUAGGCAAGUCCUCCGUUAAAUCCAACGAUUCAAUCGUUGGGCUG
rnacentral:rRNA from 1 species